GACAUAGGUGGCGAGCGUUAUUCGGAAUUACUAGGCGUAAAGCGAGUGUAGGCGGGCGCUUAAGUCUGUUGUGAAAUCUCCCGGCUUAACUGGGAGGGGUCAAUGGAUACUGGGCGUCUUGAGUGAGGUAGGGGGUACUGGAAUUCCCGGUGUAGCGGUGAAAUGCGCAGAUAUCAGGAGGAACACCGGUGGCGAAGGCGGGUCUCUGGGCCGAUACUGACGCUGAGGAGCGAAAGCAUGGGUAGCGAACAGG
rnacentral:rRNA from 1 species